rnacentral:rRNA from 1 species
UUUCAUUUAAAAUUUAAAUAGAAUUUUAUUUUUUAGUUAAAAAGCUAAAAUAUAGUCAAAAGACGAGAAGACCCUAUAAAUCUUAAUUGUGUAUAAAUUUUUAAUUUGGAUUGAUUUUUUUAAGUAUAAAUUUAUAUAUAAUUUCAUUGGGGUGAUGUUAAAAUUUAAUUAACUUUUAAUAAUUUUAUUCAUUUAUUUAUGAUUAAGUGAUCCAUUAUUAGUGAUUAUAAAUUUAAGUUACUUUAGGGAUAACAGCGUAAUUUUUUUGGAGAGUUCUUAUCGAUAAAAAAGUUUGCGACCUCGAUGUUGGAUUAAGAUUCAUAUUUAAAUGUAGAAGUUUAAAUAUUAAGUCUGUUCGACUUUUUAUUCUUACAUGAUCUGAGUUCAAACCGGUGUAAGCCAGGUUGGUUUCUAUCUUUGAUUUAAUAAAAUAUUUUAGUACGAAAGGAAUUAGUAUUUAUUUUUUAGAAAUUUAAUUAAUGAAUAAA